ACCUGUCCCUGCCUCUGGUAACCAUCCUUCUACUCUCUUUGUCUAUGAUUUCUGUUGCUUUGAGUUUUAGAUCCCACAAACAAAUGAGAGCAUGUGGUGGUCAUCUUUCUGUGCCUGGCUUAUUUCACUUAACAUAAUGAACAGUUGUG